rnacentral:lncRNA from 1 species
CCACGCACUUGCCGUCCACGUCGCACAGCUCGCCCAUGGGGGUCAUGGGCAGCAGGGUCUGGAUGGUGGGGUUCGAGUUGAUCAGCGAGAUGAACUUGGUGAACACCAGCUCCACCUUGUCCGACUCCUGAGCAAUGAACGAGGCGAAGAUCUCGUCAGCAAUGCCCUGGGCCUCCUUGGUCGAGGGAGCAGCGCCCAGCGAGAAGGACUCUGCGGGCGGAACAACGAGCGGCGACGGGGAAUGCGUUCAGGGAGCCGAUGGAGGUUGGAAAGCGAGGGGUUGUGCAUGUGCCGCGUAUGGAGCUGAGGGCUGGCCACGUCCCUCAGAACCCGAAGCUGAGCGCUGGGAGUUGAUGUGCCCCGGCACCAGAAAGAUGCCGGUCUCGCCCGACUGAGACCGGCUCCAACUGACAGCUUUCAACCUAGCAGAGAACGCCAUGCUUAUGCUGAAAAUUCUGGUUGUUCUGCUGGCUUUUGUUGCGGCGACUGCGCUGCGAUAGCACCAUACCCUGCCAACCGCAACCACGCUGACUGGUCAGCAAGGCCACGGUCCGCGCCGGCGACAGCAGCCCAUGUCCGCUUUCACAUCCUGCAGCGGCCUGAUCCAGCUGCAACGCCAGCUCGCCACUCCGUACGUGCAAGCACAGGACUACUGCCGCUCCAAAGUGGCUGGGCGGCCAGUGCUGCGUGUCCAGCGCCAGAGCUCCGCACGCUGCUGCGUGUGUUCGGCCGCCGAGCCCUCCGAUUCCAUGCGAUUCCCUUUCAAUGCGUCUGUGCUUGUUGCGCCACAGAUUCACAUCAUCAGGCCACCGCACGUUCGCCGACACCCACACCACAUC